CUCCGGCGUCAGGGUGGUCCAGCGCCGCAACCAGUGCCCCUCGAUUCAGCGUCGCCGCUCGUGUUGUUGAUCUUUGUGGAUGUUCUCUUCCGUGCUGUCUCUACGUCGGCAGAAUUCGGGAGAGGAUUUGGGCUGCUUGCUUCGGAGGACCUGUUUCUUGCUGCCUGUGCUCAGGUUAAGCAUCCCACUGCUGUCCAAUGGCUGGGUGAUAGUAACUGAGAAGAAUGACACUUGAAUGCUUUUAGCACAAGCACGGUAGUCAGAGAGAUUAUGUAUUUUUCUCCUCACAAAAAGUGUAUAUCUUUUCUUAGUGUUGCAAGACAGGACAGAUAGUUU